rnacentral:rRNA from 1 species
CUCCUACGGGAGGCAGCAGUGGGGAAUAUUGCGCAAUGGGGGAAACCCUGACGCAGCAACGCCGCGUGCGGGAUGAAGGCUUUCGGCUUGUAAACCGCUUUCAGCAGGGAAGAUAGUGACGGUACCUGCAGAAGAAGCCCCGGCUAAAUACGUGCCAGCAGCCGCGGUAAUACGUAUGGGGCGAGCGUUAUCCGGAUUCAUUGGGCGUAAAGCGCGCGCAGGCGGGCUGCUAAGCGGGACCUCUAAUCUCGGGGCUCAACCCCGAGCCGCGUUCCGCACUGGCCGCCUCGGGCUCGGCAGGGGCG